GCUUGUGUCAGCUCAGUUGGUUAGAACAUUGUGCUGAUAACGCCAAGGUUGCAGGUUUGAUCCUCAUAUGCG